CUUAUAAAGGAACCUUACUCUCUAUUCCGUGGGCUACCUGUGGUUUUGCUGGGUCUUGCUCCUGCAAGGUCUCAGUUCUCUGUGAUUUCCAGAUAAACCUUUUUUUUUCUUUGCUGGCAAAAUAACUGGUAGUUUUAUUUUUAAGAUUAACAUUAGUGGGUGACCAGAAGUAGGAUCCAGAGAAGACCCCAACAACACUCUAUGCUGCUGAGCGAACAGGGGCUGGUACCCACGGAGCCAGUUGAAUUCACUGCUUUCUUGCCCACCCUGGAGUCUGAGGCCUGAGAUUUAAAGAGAGAACAGCUGGAAUGCUACAGUGAGAAGAGUUCAUGCUUCUAUCAAGCUACCAGUCUCUUUACGGGCAAGAUCCUCAAUGAUGCGAGCAGAAUCCACACUACACCUUCUCCAUCAAGAUUCCAAUAGAUCCCUCAAAAGUCUCUUCUCAUAAUUAAUCAGUACCCAACAAAUGAAGAAGCCUUCAAGGCAUGAAGCCCACAAAAAAUAUUACAAGGCUCAGGGCCUCAUUAUCCCCUGCACUAGUCCCUGUAAUACCCCUAUUUUACCUGUGAGAAAACCCAGUGGCUGAGGAUGGAGGUUUUGCCAGGACCUCUGAGCAAUAAAUACCAUCCUUAUCCCUUGGCACUGUGUUCCUAGCCCCCAUAUGCCACUAACAUCCUAUUCCCACUGAAAGCAUUUUCACUGUAAUUAAUCGGUGCAGUGUAAUUUUAGUAUUCUAGGUGAUAAGGAUAGCCAAAAUCUUCUUACUUUCACUUGGGAAGAACAGAAAUACACCUAGACAGUAAUGCCAGUGUUUCAGUCUUUACUUUUCACAAACCUUAUAGACUAAUUUGGAUGAACAGCAGGUUCUACUUUGUUAUAAUACGUAGAUGAUUUACUUCUCUUCUUCCCUUGCUGAACCAACCACACCCAGUUGUCAAAACUCUUGGCUUUAAAGGGACAUCAAGUUUCCAAAGAAAAAUUUCAGUUUAUCAAACUUAGGCUCUAUACGUAGGGAAUCUGAUCUCAAAACAAAAACUACUUUUGGAUUCAAAUGAAACCCCUCAUGACUGCUUAAUGCUGACAGGUUACCUUUCUAAUCCCUGUGGCAAUUCACAGGAAACUCCUCUAAUUAAUGCAGAUUUUCAUGGUUUACUGAUGGUUCCUAUAAAAAGGAUGAAAAUGAUAAAUACUGUGCUAGUUUAUUAUUGCGGCUCCUUUUGAAGUCAUCAAGACAGUACCUUUACUUUGUGGCAAGUUCAGCCCAACAAACAGAAUUAUAUGCCCUACUUACCCUAGCCAAGGGUGAAAUGACUAGCAUUUAUGCUAAUAGUUGGUAUGCCUUUGGGGUUGCUCAUGACUUUGUAAUAUGGAAAAAAAACAAAUUGCC